rnacentral:tRNA from 1 species
GGGCGUGUAGCUCAGCGGGAGAGCACUACGGUGACAUCGUAGGGGUCGUUGGUUCAAACCCAACCACGCCCACCA